rnacentral:tRNA from 1 species
GCCUGCCUGGCUCAAUCGGUAGAGCAUGCAACUUUCAAUCUCAGGGUCAUGGGUUCACAUCUCACGUUGGGCG